UACGUAGGGUGCGAGCGUUAAUCGGAAUUACUGGGCGUAAAGCGUGCGCAGGCGGUUUUGUAAGCCAGAUGUGAAAUCCCCGGGCUUAACCUGGGAAUGGCAUUUGGGACUGCAAGGCUGGAGUGUGGCAGAGGAGACUGGAAUUCCCGGUGUAGCAGUGAAAUGCGUAGAUAUCUGGAGGAACACCGGUGGCGAAGGCGGCAUCCUGGACCAACACUGACGCUGAGGAGCGAAAGCCAGGGGAGCAAACGGG
rnacentral:rRNA from 1 species